rnacentral:rRNA from 1 species
GUGCCAGCAGCUGCGGUAAUACGGAGGGUGCGAGCGUUAAUCGGAAUUACUGGGCGUAAAGCGCAUGCAGGUGGUUUGUUAAGUCAGAUGUGAAAGCCCGGGGCUCAACCUCGGAAUUGCAUUUGAAACUGGCAGGCUAGAGUACUGUAGAGGGGGUAGAAUUUCAGGUGUAGCGGUGAAAUGCGUAGAGAUCUGAAGGAAUACCGGUGGCGAAGGCCGGCCCCCUGGACAGAUACUGACACUCAGAUGCGAAAGCGUGGGAGCAAACAGGAUUAGACUACCCGU